rnacentral:lncRNA from 1 species
ACGUCUGGAGCCCUUGAUAUCCUGCAAAUGAAGGAGGAGGAUGUCCUCAAGUUUCUUGCAGCAGGGACCCAAUUAGGUGGCAUCAACCUCGACUUCCAAAUGGAACAGUACACCUAUAAAAGGAAAAGUGAAAGCAUCUGCUUCCUAAAUCUGAACAGGACCUGGGAGAAGCUUCUUCUGGCAGCUGGCGCCAUUGUUGCCAUUGAAAACUGUGCUGAUGUCAGUGUCACGCCCUCCAGAAUACUGGCCAGUGGGCUGUGCUGAAGUUUGCUGCUGCCACUGGAGUCACUCCUAUUGCUGGCUGUUUCAUUGUUUCACUCUUGAAACUUUCACUAACCAGACCCAGGCAGCCUUCUGGGAGCCAUGGCUCUUGGCAAUUACUGAUCCCAGAGCUGACCACCAGCCUCUCACAGAGGUGUCUUAUGCUAACCUGCCUACCAUUGCUUUGGGUCACACAGAUUCUCGUCUGCGCUGUGGACAUUGCCAUCCCCUGCAACAACAAGGGCACUCACUCAGUGGGUCUGAUGUGGAAGAUGCCAGCCUGGAAGUUCUGCAUAUGCAUGGCACCAUCUCCUGUGAACACCCAUAGGAGGUCGUGCCUGAUCUCUAUGUCUACAGAGAUCCCAAGGAGAUUAGAAAGAAAGAGCAGGCUGCUGCUAAAAAAGCUGAGGCUAAGGAGGAAUUUCAGGGUGAAGGGACUGCCCUGGCUCCUGAGUGUACUGCUACUCAGCCUGAGGUUGCAGCCUGCUUUGAAGGUGUGCAGGUCACACAGGUGCCCCCUGUGUCUGUUCAGCAGGUCCCUACUGAAGACUAGAGCACUCAGCCUGCCAUGGAAGACUGGUCCACAGCUCCCACUGCUUGGGCCACUGAAUGGGUAUGAAAAACCACUGA